rnacentral:rRNA from 1 species
AUGAUCAAGGGUGAUACUAUUGCCAAGGUUUUGGAAUCAUUUCCGCCCAAUGUGACGUUCAGAAGGGAUUUAAUUGGACCUAGACUCCAAUCGUGGAACAUACUACUUCAACGAUUAUCCACGGUACAGUUGUCACAGGGGUCCGAUUUAUUUCGUUGGAACCUACAUGGGAAUGGGCAAUUCUCAGUGGAGUCUAUGUAUAGAGCUUUGAUCCAGUCUGACGUGCCAGUUGAUAAUAAUAAGAAGAUCUGGAAGAUGAAGAUACCUCUUAAGAAUAAAAUCUUUGCAUGGUAUCUUCGUCGCGGAGUCAUUCUUACUAAAGAUAACCUUAUUAAGAGGAAUUGGCAUGGAAGCACGCAAUGUGUAUUUUGUCCGCAUGAUGAGACAAUAAAACAUUUGUUCUUCCAAUGUAAAUUGGCUCGUUCUAUAUGGUCAGUCAUCCAAAUAGCUUCUGGCUUGUACCCUCCUUGUAGUGUUGCUAAUAUAUUUGGCAACUGGUUACAUGGGAUUGAUCACAGGUUCAGAAUUCUACUUAGGGUGGAGCGCUUGCCGUGA